AGGGCGUAUGGGGAAUGCCUAGGCACACUCCGGCGAAGAAGGACGCAGCAAACAGCGAAAUGCGACGGUGAGCGGUAAGCACGUGAAGAGCCGUCGAUAUCCGAAUGGGGGAACCCACACGGAGUCAUAUCCGUGUAUCACAUGUCGAAUACAUAGACAUGAUGAGGCGAGACGCAGGGAACUGAAACAUCUAAGUACCUGCAGGAAGAGAAAAUAAGAAUGAUUUUCUGAGUAGCGGCGAGCGAAAGGGAAAGAGCCCAAACCGAUCUGAGGAUCGGGGUAGUAGGAUCAUCGAUAAAUCAAACAGAGGAUCAUAGAGGAAUCACAUGGGAAGGUGAGCGAGAGAGGGUGAGAGCCCCGUACUCGAAAUGAGAGACUGGAGAGAGAUGACACCUGAGUAGGGCGGGACACGAGAAAUCCUGUCUGAAUCAGCCGGGACCAUCCGGCAAGGCUAAAUACGAGAGAGUGACCGAUAGUGAACCAGUACCGUGAGGGAAAGGUGAAAAGAACCCCGGGAGGGGAGUGAAAGAGAACCUGAAACCAUAUGCCUACAAGAAGUCAGAGCCCGUUAAAGGGUGAUGGCGUGCCUUUUGUAGAAUGAACCGGCGAGUUACUGUAUGGAGCGAGGUUAAGCAGGAUAUGCGGAGCCGAAGCGAAAGCGAGUCUUAAGAGGGCGCGAGUUGCAUGCAGUAGACCCGAAACCGGGUGAUCUAGCCAUGACCAGGUUGAAGUUGGGGUAAAACCCGAUGGAGGACCGAACCGACCCCCGUUGAAACGUUGGCGGAUGAGUUGUGGCUAGGGGUGAAAUUCCAAUCGAACCCGGAGAUAGCUGGUUCUCCCCGAAAUAGCUUUAGGGCUAGCGUCGAGAGAAGAGUUGCGUGAAGGUAGAGCACUGAAUAUGUGAUGGCCCCAUCUCGGGGUACUGAGCAUAAUCAAACUGCGAAUGUCACGCCAACAUGCUCGGCAGUCAGACAGCGGGUGAUAAGGUCCGUUGUCAAGAGGGAAACAGCCCAGACCAUCAGCUAAGGUCCCAAAAUGUAUGCUAAGUGGAAAAGGAUGUGGAGAUGUACAGACAACUAGGAGGUUGGCUCAGAAGCAGCCAUCCUUUAAAGAGUGCGUAACAGCUCACUAGUCGAAUGACUCUGCGCCGAUAAUUUACCGGGGCUAAGCAUACUACCGAAGCUAUGGAUCCCAAGGGAUGGUAGGGGAGCGUUCCAUGAACGGAGAAGUACGACCGAAAGGACGUGUGGAGAUCAUGGAAGAGAGAAUGCCGGUGUGAGUAGCGGAACGUGGGUGAGAAUCCCACGCACCGAAAACCCAAGGUUUCCAGAGGAAGGUUCGUCCGCUCUGGGUAAGUCGGGACCUAAGGCGAGGCCGAAAGGCGUAGUCGAUGGACAACAGGUAGAGAUUCCUGUACCCGUAUAUAUGUGAAGGAAUGACGGAGAGAGGAAGCUGCAGCCAGCGGCUGGAAGAGCUGGUGCAAGCGAGAUAUCGGGAUGGCAGGCAAAUCCACCAUCCGAAACGAGAAGGCGUGAAGCGUACGGAAAGCUACGGCGAGUACGGAAGGCAGUGGAGGAACUUCCAAGAAAAGUUUCUAACGUUAAGUAUAUAUGGCCCGUACCGAAAAUGGACACACAUGGGUGAGGAGAGAAUCCUAAGGUGAGCGAGAGAACUAUAGCUAAGGAACUCUGCAAAAUGACUCCGUAACUUAGGGAGAAGGAGUGCUCAUAGAGAUAUGAGCCGCAGUGAAACGGCCCAAGCGACUGUUUACCAAAAACACAGCUCUCUGCUAAGCCGCAAGGCGAAGUAUAGGGGGUGACGCCUGCCCGGUGCUGGAAGGUUAAGGGGAGGGGUUAACGCAAGUGAAGCCCUGAACUGAAGCCCCAGUAAACGGCGGCCGUAACUAUAACGGUCCUAAGGUAGCGAAAUUCCUUGUCAGGUAAGUUCUGACCCGCACGAAAGGCGUAACGAUUUGGGCGCUGUCUCAGCUGUAGACUCGGUGAAGUCUUAGUACCUGUGAAGAUGCAGGUUACCCGCGACUAGACGGAAAGACCCCAUGGAGCUUCACUGCAGGUUGAUAUUGGGAUUUGAUGCAGCAUGUACAGGAUAGGUAGGAGGCAAAGAGAUGGAUACGCCAGUAUUCAAGGAGCCGCUGUUGGGAUACUACCCCUGUUGUAUUGGAUUUCUAACCGGACGACGUAGAGCCGUUGACGGGACAGUGUCAGUCGGGCAGUUUGACUGGGGCGGUCGCCUCCCAAAGAGUAACGGAGGCGCCCAAAGAUACCCUCAGCUUGGAUGGAAACCAAGCGCAGAGUGCAAAGGCAAAAGGGUGUUUGACUGCGAGACCUACAAGUCGAGCAGGGACGAAAGUCGGGCUUAGUGAUCCGG
rnacentral:rRNA from 1 species